GGAAGGGAGGCUUCCGGACCUGGUCCCGGAUGUGAGGCUGGCGCGAAGUGUCGGAGGCUCUUCGGCGCCCGGGAUCCAGUCUGUUGUGCAGUCUGUUCCGUGCCGCCCUGGCCAGAGCUGCUAAUGAAAGCUUUGAAGGAAUGCCAGUGCCUCAACAAACAGAAAGUGAUGCAGUGACGAGAAGGAAUCCAGAGAACAGGAGCACUAUCAGGCAAGACCUGGGAGAAGGGCAGAUGGAUGACAAAAGGCAACUUAGGGAAGAAACACUUAUUUGGCUCACAGUCUGAGGGACUACAGUUCAUCAUGGCAGGGAAGGAUGGAGGCAGCUGAUCAUACUGCAUCCCCACUCAGAGAAGCAGAGAACAGUGAAUGCUGGUGCUCCCAGGUUCCUUAGACACUGUGAAAUGCUGGCUCAUCAGGUGCAAUCUUUCUGGGAGAAAUAUGACAAUAUCUACUAAAAUAUAACAUCGACAGGGGCUGGGGGUGUAGCUCAGUGGUGGAACCCUUGCCUACCAGAUUUAAGGCUCAAGAUUUGAUUCCCAGUACCACAAAAUAAUAAAUAUGCAAAUACCUUUUCCUAGAAACUCAUUCCUGGACAUAUCUUUGGAUCAAGAUAAAUUCUACUCUAGACCAGAGCUUCUAAGUCUUAGGACUCCUGACGCUUGGACUGGAGAAUUCUAAUAGCUCAAGGCUGUUGUGGUUUUUGUAGGAUGGUGUGAGGGUUCAUUUGUGCCACCAUGACUGGGCCAUGGGUGCCCAGACAUUGCCACCUGUGAGACUUAUCCUCUGGACAUAUUCUGAAUGAGGUGGUAGGCUGCUUGUAUUAACUAACCACCCAGGCUGCUAUACUCAAAUGUCACAGACUUGGGGGGCUUAUAAACAACCAAAUUUCUCAUAAUUCUAGAGGCCCAAGUCUGAGAUCAAGGUGGACAGGGCUCCUCAGAGACAGUGCUGUCUGUGCCCAUACACUGUCAAAAGGAUGAGUCAGUCCCCUCAAGCUUCUCAUCAGGGCACUGACCCCAUUCAUGAUGCUCCACACCCAUGACCCGAAUGUCUUCGUAGAGCUCCCAUCUCCUAAUACCAUCACCUUGGGGGGCAGGAUACACAAACCUAAGAAGUACAAACAUUCAGACUACAACACUGAACCAAGCCACACAGAGGGGGCUCAGCUCUCAGUUUGAAGGCCCAAAUGUAACAGAAACACCGAGAAAGAGGUUAAAUACUGCAUGCCUCGGAUCUUUUAAGCCUUUGGACUUGAACUGAAACAAAUGCUCUUGCUGGAGUGUCACCCUUUGGAAAUGCCAUUGGUUUGUCUACUCACUGUUGCUUCCCUGCUGUCUCUGAGACCUGUCAGCCUCCAUAGUUACACAAGCCAAUUCCUGACAAUAAACCUUUCUUUCCUUAUAUGGAGAUGCAGAUGGAGAUGCAAAUGGUGAGCAGUGUCCCUGGUGUUCACUCAUUAGAUGCCAGCAGCCACCCCCACACCAGUUGUGACAACUGAAAUUGUAUACACCUUCCCAGGAAGGAAAAUUCAACUCUCUGAGGCUCACAGCAAACAGCCAGUGCAUACUGCCUUGGAGAGGGGAGGACAGGGAGCUAUGAUGGGAGUAGGGGCCAGAGGGACAAUUGCUGAUAAGAGACCAAGAGGGGCUGGAGAGAUGGUUCAGUGGUUAGGAGUUCUGACUGCUCUUGUAGAGGACCUGGGUUCAG